CCAUCCUGGCUGACAUUACAUUUGGUUCUCUCGGUCAUACACUUUAUUUAGUGCGUACCGACGUGAACUGAAAAACUUGUUUUUUUUUGUAUCAGCUAGACAAGCCAACACAGCAUCAAAUAUUACCACCAGCGUAGUCUGUGCAAAUAAAAUACAUCAUGUCUCAUCUGUUGUUCUUCUGUUGUUUGUCGCUUCUGUUUGUGACAGCGUGUGGUCGUGGGCGGAUCGGGCUGUGUGUGGAGAGAUGUGAGUACAGCCCCACACUCUCAGCUGUGGGUGGGGGCGACGGCUGUCCCAAGGGCUACGAGUGCAGGUCAAAUGGGUGUGGUCAUACCUGUCAACCCAAAAGAAAACGCCCUUUACUUUCUUGAUCUAAGAAGCGAACAGUUUAUCUGAUUGACAACUUUUGGCUAAACACCCGUCAUCAGCUGUCAUGUUUUGAACAUAGAAAUCAUAGACAAAAGAUGAUUAAACACACUCUGUAAAAUC